rnacentral:rRNA from 1 species
UAGGGAAUCUUCCACAAUGGACGCAAGUCUGAUGGAGCAACGCCGCGUGAGUGAAGAAGGUUUUCGGAUCGUAAAACUCUGUUGUUAGAGAAGAACGUGUGUGAGAGUAACUGUUCAUGCAGUGACGGUAUCUAACCAGAAAGCCACGGCUAACUACGUGCCAGCAGCCGCGGUAAUACGUAGGUGGCAAGCGUUGUCCGGAAUUAUUGGGCGUAAAGGGCGUGCAGGCGGCCAGGCAAGUCUGUCUUAAAAGUGCGGGGCUUAACCCCGUGAUGGGAUGGAAACUGUCAGGCUAGAGUGUCGGAGAGGAAAGCGGAAUUCCUAGUGUAGCGGUGAAAUGCGUAGAUAUUAGGAGGAACACCAGUGGCGAAAGCGGCUUUCUGGACGACAACUGACGCUGAGGCGCGAAAGCCAGGGGAGCAAACGGGAUUAGAUACCCCGGUAGUCCUGGCCGUAAACGAUGGGUACUAGGUGUAGGAGGUAUCGACCCCUUCUGUGCCGGAGUUAACGCAAUAAGUAUCCCGCCUGGGGAGUACGGCCGCAAGGCUG